CACGCCGAAAGACCAAGGUUUCCUGCGCAACGUUAAUCGACGCAGGGUUAGUCGGUCCCUAAGGCGAGGCUGAAAAGCGUAGUCGAUGGAAAACAGGUUAAUAUUCCUGUACUUCCAGUUAUUGCGAUGGAGGGACGGAGAAGGCUAGGCCAGCUUGGCGUUGGUUGUCCAAGUUUAAGGUGGUAGGCUGAAAUCUUAGGCAAAUCCGGGAUUUCAAGGCCGAGAGCUGAUGACGAGUUGCCAUUAGGCGACGAAGUGGUUGAUGCCAUGCUUCCAAGAAAAGCUCCUAAGCUUCAGAUAACUGGGAACCGUACCCCAAACCGACACAGGUGGUUAGGUAGAGAAUACCAAGGCGCUUGAGAGAACUNCGGGUGAAGGAACUAGGCAAAAUGGCACCGUAACUUCGGGAGAAGGUGCGCCGGUGAGGGUGAAGCACUUGCUGCAUAAGCCCACGCCGGUCGAAGAUACCAGGCCGCUGCGACUGUUUAUUAAAAACACAGCACUCUGCAAACACGAAAGUGGACGUAUAGGGUGUGACGCCUGCCCGGUGCCGGAAGGUUAAUUGAUGGGGUUAGCGCAAGCGAAGCUCUUGAUCGAAGCCCCGGUAAACGGCGGCCGUAACAAUAACGGUCCUAAGGUAGCGAAAUUCCUUGUCGGGUAAGUUCCGACCUGCACGAAUGGCGUAACGAUGGCGGCGCUGUCUCCACCCGAGACUCAGUGAAAUUGAAAUCGCUGUGAAGAUGCAGUGUAUCCGCGGCUAGACGGAAAGACCCCGUGAACCUUUACUAUAGCUUUGCACUGGACUUUGAAUUUGCUUGUGUAGGAUAGGUGGGAGGCUUUGAAGUGGGGACGCCAGUUCUCAUGGAGCCAUCCUUGAAAUACCACCCUGGCAACUUUGAGGUUCUAACUCAGGUCCGUUAUCCGGAUCGAGGACAGUGUAUGGUGGGUAGUUUGACUGGGGCGGUCUCCUCCUAAAGAGUAACGGAGGAGUACGAAGGUGCGCUCAGACCGGUCGGAAAUCGGUCGUAGAGUAUAAAGGCAAAAGCGCGCUUGACUGCGAGACAGACACGUCGAGCAGGUACGAAAGUAGGUCUUAGUGAUCCGGUGGUUCUGUAUGGAAGGGCCAUCGCUCAACGGAUAAAAGGUACUCCGGGGAUAACAGGCUGAUACCGCCCAAGAGUUCAUAUCGACGGCGGUGUUUGGCACCUCGAUGUCGGCUCAUCACAUCCUGGGGCUGAAGCCGGUCCCAAGGGUAUGGCUGUUCGCCAUUUAAAGUGGUACGCGAGCUGGGUUUAGAACGUCGUGAGACAGUUUGGUCCCUAUCUGCCGUGGGCGUCGAAAUUUGAGAGGAGUUGACCCUAGUACGAGAGGACCGGGUUGAACAUACCUCUGGUGUACCUGUCGUGGCGCCAGCCGCGCAGCAGGGUAGCUAUGUAUGGACGGGAUAACCGCUGAAAGCAUCUAAGCGGGAA
rnacentral:rRNA from 1 species